rnacentral:rRNA from 1 species
ACAAUGGAGAGUUUGAUCCUGGCUCAGGAUGAACGCUAGCUACAGGCUUAACACAUGCAAGUCGAGGGGAAACGACAUUGAAGCUUGCUUCAAUGGUCGUCGACCGGCGCACGGGUGAGUAACGCGUAUCCAACCUGCCUCUGACUAAGGGAUAACCCGGCGAAAGUCGGACUAAUACCUUAUGAGGUUUUCAGCAGACAUCUAAAGAAAACGAAAGAUUUAUCGGUCAGUGAUGGGGAUGCGUCUGAUUAGCUUGUUGGCGGGGUAACGGCCCACCAAGGCAACGAUCAGUAGGGGUUCUGAGAGGAAGGUCCCCCACAUUGGAACUGAGACACGGUCCAAACUCCUACGGGAGGCAGCAGUGAGGAAUAUUGGUCAAUGGGCGAGAGCCUGAACCAGCCAAGUAGCGUGCAGGAUGACGGCCCUAUGGGUUGUAAACUGCUUUUAUGUGGGGAUAAAGUGAGCUACGUGUAGUUUAUUGCAGGUACCACAUGAAUAAGGACCGGCUAAUUCCGUGCCAGCAGCCGCGGUAAUACGGAAGGUCCAGGCGUUAUCCGGAUUUAUUGGGUUUAAAGGGAGCGUAGGCCGUGGAUUAAGCGUGUUGUGAAAUGUAGACGCUCAACGUCUGAAUUGCAGCGCGAACUGGUUCACUUGAGUAUGCACAACGUAGGCGGAAUUCGUCGUGUAGCGGUGAAAUGCUUAGAUAUGACGAAGAACUCCGAUUGCGAAGGCAGCUUACGGG